rnacentral:lncRNA from 1 species
UUUUUUGGGAAGAUUUCCUAUGCACCUAUUAGUUUUGAUAAGUGCUCUCAGGAUACAAAAGAGUUGUGCCCCAAAGGAGUCAUCAUCAUUUCAUUCCUGAAUUUCUACCAAUAGGCAAACUUGACUCCGCAGUGGCUCUUAGGCUGAGCCAUUGUCUUAGGAAGAAAUAUCCCUAAAGAAAGGAUAAACGACUUAGUAUUAUUUAGCCUGAAGAAUAGAACACUAGAGAGGGAAAAAAAUCUUGUGCAGCAUCCAUUUCAAAAAUAUGAAGAUUAUUACUUGAGAGAUAGUUACCAUAUGUUCUUCAUGUCCCCUGAGGAUAAACAAAAGAAAGUCAGAAAAAGAUACAGCUAAAAUGGGAGCAAUGGGGAUUUUGGAUAAUGAUUUUAAAAAGAACUCCUGGGUAACAAGUACCACUGAGUAUCAGAACAGGUUAGCAAGUGACAGUGUGAAAUCUUUUUUCUCUAGGAGUGUUAGUUGUGUGUACAUUGUUUUCCAAUUUGUUUCACCACCUGUUUUUCAAUUUGUAUUAAUGAAGAAGAACAAGUAAAAGGUAACCCAUUCCUUCCCAGGGAUGUUAUUCUAGAAGCAAACAAAUGAGCACCACAAAAACCUUUAUGCCACCUUCUGCUUUUCAUCCCAGGUGAUCCACGUUGUCAUCCCCUUCAGUCUCUUGACAACCCAGCUGGUCUUGGAGUUCCAGAUCCUCCUGGUUCUGAAAAGCUCCUUAUUCUGUCCACUGACUGGAUUCUCUUAUUCUUUGCUCCUCUUUCAAUCGUUCCUCACUCUUCUGCUGUACCGGCAUCAUGGAAAUACCAAAUCCUUGGAACACACAUUUUGUGGAAAAUAGGAUCCAUUUUCAUGGAUUCGCCCAUCAUCCUUAGGUGACUAACUCAUAAAUCCACAGGUUAGCUUCAUACUGUCUCCCAAACUCCAGUUGAGGAAUUCCUUACUAAUUAGUGGGUAUUCUUGCUUGGCUCUUUCACAGUCAUCAAAACCUCAAAAUCACCACCUUCACAAAGCCACCUCCUUUCCCUGAUUUUUUAACUAUUUUUCAUUGAUGAAAUUCACUUUACAUACCAACCUUCAAUGUGUAUCCCAUUUUACCCUCCUCUGGUCUAGGCACCUUGCACUUCUACUAUCCUACCCUAGUCAGUGAUAUGGCCUCUCAAUUCCUCUUCUAUUAUAUUCCUCACGUCUUUCUUUCCCGUAGUUACUAUAAAUGAUUCUCAAACACAUACUUAUAAGACUGCAAACUCUUUACUAUGGCAUUCGGGGCCUUUCACGUGCUUCUUCAGGUUACUGUCCCAGAGUAUCCACCAUUUAAAAUCCUUUGUUGUAAGCCAAACUUAUCCAGAGCUGCCUCUGAUCCUUUGCUCAAACUCAGCCCCAGCCAUGGUUUGUCUGUAUGAACCUUAUACUGUGUUGUCCAAAAUCCAGCUCAAGGCCCACUCUCCUUGGACCACCCCAGGGAACAGUAUUUCCCUCCUCAUUCACACUUUUACCUAUAACAGUUAAUUUGUUCUUACCACAUUACUUUAAACUGUUAAUAAUUUUUUCUCAUGUAUCUUUUUCAAUACCUAACUUUUUCAACUUUCAAUAGAUUGCAAACAAUUUGAAAAUAUGACUUCCUAUACAUCUUUAUAUCCUCUCCCUUAAGAAACACAUGUUAACGAAUAUUGAUUUAAUUGACUUUGGUCGUCUUUUUCCAUGUCUUCAGAAGAAUCAUAAACAAAGCCCUACACCUUUAAUUUUGUCCUUCUCAUUAGAGUAGCAGCUAUUAAUCAAUCAUUUCAUUCUAAGGCCUAUUUAACCCCUGAACAAUGGUUAAAUAUAAAAAAAAAAAAUGGAAGGAGAAAGAGGAAGAGAAUAAAGUUAAAGAGAAAAGAAGAAAGAACUAGAAAGGAAGGAAGGAAGAUGAAGAAAGACAAAAAUAAGAAGAGAAGCAAGCCCCAUGGUUCUGCCUUCUCCAAGUCUGACAACUCAGAAAUUACUUGUGAUCCUUCCCACAGUUCAAUCCCCAUUUUGGAGAAUCAGUCAGCAAGACUAUAGCUCACAUCUGUUAUUCUCAGGAGACUAUUCCUCAGUUUCAAGGUUUACAAGUAAAACAACUAAUGACUUCACUUCUCCUAUCAUGAAGCAAGUCCCUGGCCCAUUCAAUGGAUCUAUUUGAAUGGACUUACUGCCAGUCCACUUGCGAGGCAGUAUGGGAUUAAAUGCACACCAUUGACACUGGCUAAAAGAGAAAUAAAAAAUACCUGAAUUUCCUUCUGUUAAUUUUAGGAAUAUUGCCUCUUUGGCUACCUUAAUGUUUUUCUACCAUGAUGAUUUUUUUUCCCCUUUAGCAUUAAGUAAAGAGUAAUGCAUAUCCUUCUGCUGUGGCACUGUUGUUUAGUGAAGCAAAGUAUAUCAUUCUCUCUAAAUCCAUCAAAUCCAAAUACUAAAAAUGAAUUCCUCCUGGUGGCAUAAACAAACUGGUCUUUAAUACACAGAAUAUCAUAACAGAUUGUCCUUGGCUGUUCACUAUACUGUAUGUUCUGACACUUGUUGGUGUAUUUACAGUGCUUCUGCUAAAAAAAGAAUUGAUCAAGGGAAAACAGCCAAGUUCAGAAUGUUUCAAAUCUACAUUACAUACUGUCAAAAUAACUUUUAAAUAUAUGUGAAAGUGAAUAUUUGCAAUUCAAAACAAGAACACAUAAGGGGGAAAUAGAAAACACUUCCAUUUCAUAUAACUCAUAAUAGAAAGAAGUUAUUUGGAUCAUCCAUUUUCUACCAGACCCAUGGAGAAAUGGAUGGCAGUGUAAGCACACUCCCCUCCCAGAAAUUGCCCUUAUCAUGGUAAAUAAAAAUCUCCAGAGAGAAAGAGAUAAAGACUAAGUAUGAACCACUGAACAGGAGAUAAUACAGAGAAUGAUGACAGAUGGCUUUCUGAUAGUAUAACCGUAAUUUUGAAAUGCUGAUGGAAACUCUAGCAUCAGAAAAUGAGUGCUUAUUAAGCACCUACUAUGUAACUGGCCCUGUCUCUGGUUCUUGGUAAACACAGAAGAGAUGCAAGAUUCGAUGCCUCUGCCAAAAGCAAGUAAUCUAGUUGUGGGAUAGAAAAGCGAUGCCGAAAAAAUUGGGGAGAAGACUACAAGUCAAUGUGAUUAAAUGCAAACCUUUGGCAUUGGCUAAAAGAGAAAUAACAAAAAUUCAGAGAAGGGAGAGAGAGCUGUUCAAUGGAAAAGUCUAUGUGGCUUCAUAAAGGAGUUUAGGGAGGAAAGUGGGAUUGAGACAGGGGCUUCAGGAAUGAAUACAUCUUGAUUUAGUGGUCAGAAGAGGUGAGAGAUUUUCUAUGGGACUCCCUGAGAAAAAGCAUGGAGACAGGAUUGAUAAAUGAGGAGCAAUUGAGGAGGCUGCCCCAGGUGGUAAAGAGGCUGUUUAUUGUGAAGUGGAGAAAAAUCAGUGUUGAUAAGCCAAUUUUGGAUGGUCUUACAGAUAGGACCUUGAAAGAUGGCAUCACAUGUGGUUCAGACCACCAACAGAAGGCCUGGUUUGGAUCUCUGACUGCGGAGCCAGCAAUAACAAAAGGAAUGAACAAUAAAGAUUUAUCUAAGCAUUCUUCGGGAUUUCAUGGGGUGGGGGGCAAGGAAAAAAACAGAAAUUGCAAAUGUAGCAAGGAAAUAGAAAACGAAAAAGGAAGGCUCUGAACAAACUAUCCAAAGGUCUUCCCAUCAAGAAUUAGGUUCAUGACAAUGUGAGAAAAAAGAAUGUAUACAUGUAUGUGUGUAACUGGGUCAUCAUGCUGUACAGUAGAAAAAAAACCCAAUGUAUUGGGGAAAUGAAAAAAGUUAAGAAAAAAAGAAUUGGGUUCAAAUGACUACACUGGUUGAUUACUAAGACUCUGGUUUCGUGUAAACAACAACUGAGUAUAAUUCCCUCAUGACAUUUGCUCUCUACUCAUAGCAAAAUUAAAGAAUUCAAAUACUCCGUGCAACUCAUCAGGCACAUGGCUAUUUAUUUAUAUUUAUUUAUUUAUUUAUCUAUUUAUUUUUUAUCUUUUGCCCAUUCUUUUACUUUCCAAAUGGUUCCAGCAAGCUUAGGUAGCCUCCUUGCCUACCACAAUCACACCUUCUGACUAGAAAGUUCCUUCCUCAGGAAUUUAGAUUGGGACCUGAAGAUGUCAAUUUGGCUGUUCUCUUAAAUGGGCAUGAGAUACUCCUGAAUGAGAAUGGCCAUACAGUCAGUUGGUCCAGGCAGCAGCAAAGACUAACGUGCAAAAACAGCGAUGAAUAUAUCCAAUCCAGGCAGCUGGACAGAGAAAGAGGAUGAGAGACGUGUAGUUAAUGCUGACCCACCCCAGCAAGCAAAGCCCACAUCGCUGACCCCCAUCUGACCUUCAGGCACAUGAACAAGCCCAGCUGAGAUUAGCAAAGUUACUCAACAACCCACAGCUCCAUGAAAAAUAAAUGUCUACUCUCUUGUGCUGCUGAAAUUUUGUGGUUGGUUAUUAUGCAGCAUAUUGUAUAAAGAGCUAAUUGAACUAAUAACAUUCCUGACCUAGUUUGAGUUUCACCAUAUACUUCUGUAUUUUUUCUUUCUUUUUUUUUUUUCCACCAUGCUGGCAUGCUUUCAUGUGGCUUCAUGGCAAUGCAACAUCUUAAUCUAAAAGCAGGAGUCUCUAAAAGGAGAAUUCCUAGCCCUGCAAUAGGUGGGAAAGUUUCCUCCCCAAUCUCCUUAGUUAACUAAGAGUACAGACUGGGUCCUACAGUAUUCAGAGACAUAAACCAACCAUACAAUGAAUGAGACAUCUGUCAAUUUUUUACAGAGCGUGAUUGCUUUUGUUCCUGUGGACAUCUGGGAAAAACAAAUUGCAGAAAUCGUCAGAAGGUGAGUAUGCCUGCAGGUGUGCUUGUGGGUUGGUGGGUGAAAGGUGGCCUGAGUAUCAAAACCUUGGGAAAGGCUCAAGACUCAUCACUUUCUAGCACUUUUGCAAAGCCAUCCCCAGGUUUCUCACAGGGCUAAAACCUAGGUCAUUGGAAGAAGAGCAAUGCAGGGAUGAGAACAUUUUCUUCUUUGUUUCUGCUAUUCCCAAAGGCCUGCUGACAUGGAGAGAUCGAUGGUGGCCAGUGACAAGGAUCAGGAAGUCUAGCCCUUGAUGCCUGGAUUCCAGCAGUCACAUUUGUCAUUCCCAGUGCUUUCCCCUCAGUGGGAACUCUACGUCAUGGGGCCUAAGCUUGAGCGCUCCAAGGACAGGGAAUGGGGGUGCACAGCAGAAGAGACAUCAUUCUUCAUCACUCAGGCAGGAAAGGGAAGGAUAAGGAGGGAAAAGGAGCCAUCCAUGACUGAGCCUUGAUUAAUUACCAGUCUUGACAGUGACAGGAAUGUGAAAAACAGAGCAGAAAGGUUAAAAAAAAUUAAAGCAACUUUGUAGCCUCCUACACAGAAAAUAACUGUAUCUUAAAUUAGAAGAGUCAGUUAAUCACAUCAGAUGUCUUAUAGGCAGAAUCUGAGAAUUCAGAAACUAUAAAUAAACAAAUAAUGCUCAGGGUUUGUAUUUUCUGGAGGGCUCAGCACAUCUAGGAGAACAGAAGGUACGGGAAAGCUAUCUCUGAAAAGCAGCAACAUUUCAUUUGUAUCCUGUGUGCCUUGUAUCUGUUUUGUUGACAUUUGUUGACAAAAAGCAACUAUAGCCAAUAUACAGAGACACUUGGAUCUCGCAGAUCUUACUGCCUAACUCUUACUGCCUCUUACUGCCUCACUCUUGGAAGUGAGCCUCCACAACCCCUGGUUUCUUUUGUGGGAGUUCUCUAAAAGAUCUGUGUUCUUUACUUUCUUCCACAGCAUUGGCGGGCCUCCAAACCACCCAGAAAAAUGCCCUCCAGCUACCUUCUGGUGUGCUAGAAAUUCCCAGCAGAAUUGUUCCUUUAGGUUAGAGAAUCCCAUUCCUGGGAGGCCUCCGUGCAAUGACAAAUGUGUUCAUUUGGAAGUUCCCGAAACAAACUGUCAGCUUCUUGAUGUAGCCCAAGGCUAGGAAGUUCCUAGUUCUUUCUGGGAACAGAGGGAAGGUAAAGAUGGUUCUGUGUUGUUGUGGUUGUUGUUUUUAAUUUUUUUUUUUUGCUUGUUUUAUGUCAAAGGAAAUUAAUGCAUGCCAUCAGGUGGAAAAAUCUGAGCAACCACUGGAAACAGGGCAAGGUGAAGGUUAGAGGAAUUCAGAGAAAAUGCAAUAUCAGGGGCCGAGGCAAAUGGAAAUUCUGAUUAUCCAAGGCUCC